AUGUGUGAGGGGAUAAGAACUGCUGAGUUCGCUUGCACUGGGUACACCACAGUUUGCAGCACAGAAUGGAAAACAGCCUCGGGGGCAGUUGCUCCCAUACUAUGCCGGUUACUGAGGAAAUGUACUUUGCAUGAAGAAGGCUGUACUAGUUCAUCUGGGUGUGAGCAGAAACAUGUCUUGUUGAUACUUCUGGAAUCCCUUACCACACUUCGGUCUCCUGCAAGACACAGCCCAGGGGAAAACAUUGUAAAAAACAAUAAAGAGGGAAGUACAGACAAAGUAAGAAGGGAACUGCCUAAAUAAUUCAUCAAGUCAAAGAAAACAGUGGAAAUAUCAGAGGAAUCAGGGAAGAAAAUGUGGUAUUGCUCUUCAGUGAAAUAAAAAGUGACACAACUGUCA
rnacentral:lncRNA from 1 species